rnacentral:misc_RNA from 1 species
GGGAAUGUUAGGGAAUUGAUGAUUAGCAAAGUGAGCUCUAAGAGAAAUUUUACAGCUCCUGACAAAACUUCUUCUACCUGGGGACUUCAACUGUUAGAAAUGCCAAUGUAACAACGGAGCUACUACAUUACAGGUGCAGCAAUACCCUGUGGUGUCAUGUGUUUGGCAGUUCCAUUAAGCAUACCCCCACCACGAUUCGUACGCACAACAUAACCACCUGUGUUAUCAGUUCGCUGGUAUGAUUGGUAUCCAUCACCCCCACGAUUAGACGACCAUCCGCGCUGUCCACCUCUGUUGUUGAACUCGGUUCUUUC